AAAGGAUGCGAUGAGGAUAGCAAAGCUCCCUCUUCUGAUUAAAAGUUGAGGACACUGCUGGCAGAAUCGAACCAAUCACUAAACAUUGCCAUCACUGAGUAA